GACACUCAUUUUUCUUAUCCUCUAGCUAAAUCGCCAUGGCACGGGGUCGCGGCUCGCGGGAUGCUCCGCCGGCCGCCGCCGACGAGCACGAGCAGGCACGACGCGGGAGACGCCGCCGCCGACGAGCACGAGCAGGCAUGUCGCGUGAGACGCCGACGCCGACGAGCACGAGCAGGCACGUCGCGGGAGGCGCCGCCGCCGACGAGCGCGGGGAGGGCUGCGCCAGGCCACGGUAGACUCCGCCACCUCGCCGCCAACGAGCUAGAGCCGUGAGGUGGAGGCGCAUCACGGAGAGGACUCCGCAGGCCGCCGUCGACUACCCACUGCCGAGCUCUCACCGGCAGGCGCUGCGCCGCGGUGGAUAGACGCAAGAGUAGGAGGCCGCAGCCGCCCGUCUUGCAUCGGGGAGGCGAGUUCCCGCGGAGGUGGUGGAACGCUGCCGCCGACCUUGCAUCGGGGCUGCACAACUACUGCCGGGAAGAGAGGAGGAUGUCGGGCGUCGGUGCAGCAGGGGAGGCCGUCGCCACUGAGCAGGCUGCGACGGGGGAGGCCGUAGAGCCACCUAGCAAGGAAGCAGGGGAGGGUGUCAUCGAGCGAGAAUGAUGCAGCAGGAAAGGCCAUCACCAAGCACGCCGUGACGGCUGAGGCCGCCACCGGGCAUGUCGCCACGGGGGAGAUUGCCUCCGGCACCGAGCUGCAGGGGAGGGCGUCGCCACAAGAGCGGGCUGCAACAGGGGAGGCCGCCGCCACUCGAGCAUGGAGUAGCGGGGGAGGGCGUCGCCGCGCUGCAGCUUGAGACCUCGCUGGGGCAGAUGACUCCGGCACGUUCUGGCUGCUGCCUCUUCUAGUCGGCAGUAGUUGUGCAGUCAGUGGGUCAAGGCUGCCUAGAGGGCGAGCAUGCCAUCGAGCAUGGCCGCAGAAGGAAAUGCUGGUCGUACCGAGCUAUUGUGCUACAGAAGAAAUGAUGUUUGGUGAGUGAGCAGAAUCAAAGAACAGAAAUUUUGAUCAUGGUGUUUCAAAAUAAAGCCAAGACUAAAAAUAUAUCAUGUUUGAUUUAGCACCGUGAUGUACACUUUGCUAUAUUUUUUGCUACCGUCAACAAAACAUUUUUCCUAGUGUAGUAGGCGUUUGAAGUGAUUUUUAUGAGUACCAAAUGGUCACCAUAUUCUACACCAUGUAUACAUAUAUUUUGGACAGGGCAUGAUUAUUUCUGAAGCAUGUGCUAUAAUCUCAAAAGUCAGAGGCAAGCAAGACGCAUGCAAUGAGAGCAGUAGUUUAGCUGAGGCAUGCACUCAGCGGGUGUAUUUUUUUUUCGAAACUGGUGUAAUUUUUUUUCGAAACUGGUGUAAUUUUAUUCUUGAACCAUUGUUGGCACUCUU